AGAGUUUGAUCAUGGCUCAGAAUCAACGCUGGCGGCGCGCUUAACACAUGCAAGUCGCACGAGAAAGUGGAGCAAUCCAUGAGUACAGUGGCGUACGGGUGAGUAACACGUGGAUCAUCUACCUCUUGGUGGGGAAUAACCCUGGGAAACCGGGGCUAAUACCGCAUAAGCCUGCAAAGGGAAAGCAGCAAUGCGCCGAGAGAGGAGUCCGCGGCCGAUUAGCUGGUUGGUAGGGUAACGGCCUACCAAGGCAAUGAUCGGUAGCCGGCCUGAGAGGGCACACGGCCACACUGGCACUGAAACACGGGCCAGACUCCUACGGGAGGCAGCAGUGGGGAAUCUUGCACAAUGGGGGAAACCCUGAUGCAGCGACGCCGCGUGAGCGAUGAAGCCCUUCGGGGUGUAAAGCUCUUUCGGCAGGAACGAUUAUGACGGUACCUGCAGAAGAAGCUGCGGCUAACUACGUGCCAGCAGCCGCGGUAAUACGUAGGCAGCAAGCGUUGUUCGGAAUUACUGGGCGUAAAGAGUGUGUAGGCGGUUCUCUAAGUUCCGUGUGAAAUCUCCCGGCUUAACUGGGAGGGUGCGCGGGAAACUGGAGGGCUGGAGUAUGGGAGAGGAAAGCGGAAUUCCUGGUGUAGCGGUGAAAUGCGUAGAUAUCAGGAGGAACACCUGCGGUGUAGACAGCUUUCUGGACCAUCACUGACGCUGAGACACGAAAGCGUGGGUAGCAAACAGGAUUAGAUACCCUGGUAGUCCACGCCCUAAACGAUGCAUACUUGGUGUGAGCCGUUCAUUCGGUUCGUGCCGGAGCUAACGCGUUAAGUAUGCCGCCUGGGGAGUACGUCGCAAGCUGAACUCAAAGGAAUUGACGGGGCCCGCACAAGCGGUGGAGCAUGUGGUUCAAUUCGACGCAACGCGAAGAACCUUACCUGGGCUCGAACGGC
rnacentral:rRNA from 1 species